UCCCUGGUAGUAUAUCGGUGAGUACACGCGCCUGUCAUUCGCCUCGGUCGCGCGAAAGCGGGGUUCGACUCCCCGCCAGGGAG